AUUGAACGCUGGCGGAAUGCUUUACACAUGCAAGUCGAACGGCAGCACGGGGGCAACCCUGGUGGCGAGUGGCGAACGGGUGAGUAAUACAUCGGAACGUGCCCAGUCGUGGGGGAUAACGUAGCGAAAGUUACGCUAAUACCGCAUACGAUCUACGGAUGAAAGCGGGGGACCGUAAGGCCUCGCGCGAUUGGAGCGGCCGAUGUCAGCUUAGGUAGUUGGUGAGGUAAAGGCUCACCAAGCCGACGAUCUGUAGCUGGUCUGAGAGGACGACCAGCCACACUGGGACUGAGACACGGCCCAGACUCCUACGGGAGGCAGCAGUGGGGAAUUUUGGACAAUGGGCGCAAGCCUGAUCCAGCCAUUCCGCGUGCAGGACGAAGGCCUUCGGGUUGUAAACUGCUUUUGUACGGAACGAAAAGGCACUGGUUAAUACCCGGGGCUCAUGACGGUACCGUAAGAAUAAGCACCGGCUAACUACGCGCCAGCAGCCGCAGUAA
rnacentral:rRNA from 1 species